ACCCAGGACUAGGUGGAGGGAUUAUAUCUCCAACCUGGCCUGGGAACGCCUCGGGAUCCUCCAGUCAGAGCUGGUUAAUGUGGCUCGGGAAAGGAAAGUUUGGGGUCCCCUGCUGGAGCUGCUGCCUCCGCGACCCGACCCCGAAUAAGUGGAGGAAGAGGAUGGAGAGAACAGCG